CCCUUAGAUGUUCUGGGCCGCACGCGUGCUACACUGAGUGGAUCAGCGGGUCAGGUUGCGCGAAAGUGUUUCCUAAUCUUUAAAUCCGCCCGUGAUGGGGAUUGACGGUUGCAAUUUUCCGUCAUGAACGAGGAAUACCUUGUAAGCGCGGGUCAUCAUCCCGCGCUGAAUACGUCCCUGCCCUUUGUACACACCGCCCGUCGCUCCUACCGAUUGAGUGGUCCGGUGAGGCUUUGGGAUCUGGGCGGAAAGAGCGUUUCGCUGUUUCUGCCCGGAAAACUCAGUCGAACCUUAUCAUUUAGAGGAAGGAGAAGUCGUAACA
rnacentral:rRNA from 1 species